ensembl:lncRNA
AGAUGGCAUGGGUGUGAGGAAAGAAUGCUGAGGAAGAUGGCAUGGGUGUGAAGAAAAAAUGCUGAGGAAGAUGGCAUGGGUGUGAGGAAAGAAUGCUGAGGAAGAUGAUGGCAUGGGUGUGAGGAAAGAAUGCUGAGGAAGAUGAUGGCAUGGGUGUGAGGAAAGAAUGCUGAGGAAGAUGGCAUGGGUGUGAGGAAAGAAUGCUGAGGAAGAUGGCAUGGGUGUGAAGAAAAAAUGCUGAGGAAGAUGGCAUGGGUGUGAGGAAAGAAUGCUGAGGAAGAUGGCAUGGGUGUGAGGAAAGAAUGCUGAGGAUCCUGCAGUUAGGACUGCAGGUGAGUUUAAUGGCAGCCAGGGUGGAGAACUGGUGCAUCAAGCGAUAGUUUACUACUGCUGAUGAACGAUCAGAUGUGAGGUCCUACCUAAUCACUCAUAAGGAAUACUCACAGGAGUACUGUAAGGAAUAGCAGUCUUGGAGUUUUCUGCACAGGCUGACCUCGUGGUGUCCAGCUAAGGCAUUUCCAAGCCCCUUUGACAUAGAGCUUUUUGAAUCUUCUAAAUUAUUCUUUUAUUCCGUAAUUUAUACAACUGAUUCUCAUUAUUUGUGGUAGUCUAUGAAGUCACCAGGAACACUGAAUUAGCAAAUAUUGAACCAUUGCUCCUAGGGGAAAUACAGGGUUGGGUUCCUGCGAGCCUCUGGUCACAUUUUCAUCACCAAUCAAUAUAUGAUAUUUUAUGUACGUUUCUGUUUAAAAAUAUUUAAUGCACGUUGGCAGUUUGCUCAUGUUGAACUCAUGGCCAACAGCACUAUAACUCAUGCCUAAAUGAAGCUUAUCCAACAUGCAUUUUCUCUUUUAGGCAUGUCGCAGCCUUCCUGCACUUAGGGACACUAUGACAGUACUUCAGCAGUGCUCUUGGGGCACAUUUUAAAAAGAACAAACAUUGGGGCUGGCAGCGUGGCUGAGUGGUUAAGUUCGCACUCUCCGCUUUGGUGGCUCAGGGUUUCACCGGUUCCAAUCCUGGGCGCGGACAUGGCACUGCUCAUCAAGCCAUGCUGAGGGGGCAUCCCACAUGCCACAACUAGAAGGACCCACAACUAAAUACAUACAGCUAUGUACUAGGGGGCUUUGGGGAUAAAAAGGAAAAAUAAAAAAAUCUUAAAAAAAAAUCGACAAAAGACAGAAAACUGUGAAAAGCUCGUGUCUUCUCACAGGGCCACUUCCAGUGCAGGAGCACUGAGAAAUAAAUAGGAAACCAAAGAGCCAG